rnacentral:lncRNA from 10 species
GUGGGGAAACCUGGAGGGAAAAAUGGAACUGAUCAGGUGCAUUUCAAUUGGGCCGUGGUAUUUUAGGCAACACCUCUGCUGGAGAGGUUGUUGCCUGCAAAACCGGAUGAAGGCAGUGCUGUCAGGGCUUGGUGCUCCGUGAACAGCCACCUGGGGUCUGCACGUGUCUUCUGCCUCCACCCACCCCCGCUCAAACCCCCUUCCCAGCACCUCCCUCUCUGCAAGGUUCCGGAGUGGCCACCCACAGAGCAGCUCUGGGCUGGGCGCUGAGUCAUGAGGCUGUGGUGCCUGCCAGGGGGCGAGGGUGGCAGAUGGCUUCAUGUGGGCCCAUUUUCCAGGGAUGCCCAUUCCUGCUGGGGUAGCCAGCUGUGACCAGGUCAGUGUGGAAAGUGAGCCCUGGGAGACCUGAGGCCUGAGGCCCUGGGCUUCCGCUUGACCUGGCUGGGUCAGCCGUGGGAGGCAGAGCCUGGCUCUGUUUAUCCAGGCCGGACACUUCCGGAGCAGAUGGGCGCCUGUCAGAGCCACCAGCCAGGAACUGGGCUGACGUCCUCUCAUUGCCAAGUGGCAGUUCUGGGGCCAGCAUUGAACGCAAGGUGUCAGCAAGUCUCCUGCCAGAGGUCCUGACGGAGGGGCUGUUCCAGGCCAUGCUCCUGGCUUCCGGUGGUUGCCGGCAACCCUGUGCAUUCCCUGCUUGUAGAGAUGAGAAAAUGGAGGUACCAAAAAGUGGGCUCUGAACUGCAGAGCCUGGCUCCAGAGCCCUUGUAUUUGACUACUGGGAUCCACCGUUAUUCUCACAGCCGCGUUUCCCACAGGGCUGCUUUGUAUGGCCUCUUAGAAAAGUCCUGCCUGUCUCCACCAUCCAGACUAUGAUGUCCGUGAGGUCAGAGGAAAGGGAGAAUGUCUCACAUACAGAAAAUGCUUGAUCAACAUUGAUGGAAUCAUAAAUGGGCCUCAGCGGCACCUGUCCUGAGUCAGCAUCUCACAGAGGUUUUGCCAGCGCCAGCCACAUCUCCAGCAUGAAGGUGAUUGUCUGAGUGUGUCCAGUCCAGUUCCUGCCUUAAUAAAAAUCACUGCUGCAAGGGAGAGGGCUGCCAAGGCCCUGCCUCCCUCCAACCCCAUCCUAGCCUGAGUCUUAACCAUUCUUCCAAUCCAGUUCCACUUUGGGCCAGUGCUUAACCCAGGGUAGCACUUUUGAGCCUCGCAACUCUUGGGAGUGAGUUUUCAUCCUAACGUUCUCAGAUGAGGAAAUUGGGCCUCAAAGAGUCCACACAGGUGAGGCACCAUGGCUCAUGCCUAUAAUCCUAACACUUUGGGAGGCCAAGGCAGGAGGAAUGCUUGAGCCCAGGAGUUCAAGACCAGCCUGGGCAACAUGGUGACACCCUGUCUCUAUAAAAAAAUACAACAAUUAGGCAAACGUGGUGGCAUGCACCUGUCAUCCCAGCUACCUGGGAGGCUGAGGUGGGAGGAUUGCUUGAGCCCAGGAGGCUGAGGCUGCAGUGAGCCAUGAUCCUGCCAGUACACUCCAGCCUGGGUGACAGAACAAGACCCUGUCUCAAAAACAAAACAAAACAAAAACAAAAACAAAGCAUCCACACAACUAGCAGGUGAAAAACUGGGGUUCAAACUCAGGCCUAUAACACUAAGGGCUGGGCCUGUCCCCACCAAAUCAGUCUUUCCUCAGACAGGCUGAGGUGUCCUCUAUAGACCAAAUAUCUGGAGGUCAGAACACUGAGACACUAGUUAUGUAAAGGCAGGGUGUGAGUUGGUGAGCUCAUCGAGAAAAUGCUUCCUGGGCUGGGUGCAGUGGCUCACACCUGUAAUCCCAGCACUUUGGGAGGCUGAGGUGGACAGAUCACCUCAAGUCAGGAGUUCAAGACCAGCCUGGCCAACAUGCUGAAACUCUGUCUCUACUAAAAAAUACAAAAAUUUGCCAAGCGCAGUGGCACAUGCCUGUAAUACUAGCUCCUCGGGAGGCUGAGGCAGGAGAACCGCUUGAACCCAGGAGGCAGAGGUUGCAGUGAGCCAAGAUUGCACCACUGAACUCUAGCCUGGGUGACAGAGCAAAACUCUGUCUCAAAAAAAAAAAAAGAAAAGAGAAAAAAGAAAGAGAGAGAAAGAAAGAGAGAGAGAAAGAGAAAGAAA